UUUGUAGUCUCAAUGCCACUGAAAAAACAUCCUUCAGUCUUAGGCGAAUCUUAUCAAAAGGCAAAAUAUCGUUUCUUAUCAUUAGAACACGCUUCAGAACGAGCAUACGGUGCUUGUUUGUAUAUUCGUUCUGUGCAUAAAUCAGGGCUAGUGACUGUGCACCUCUUGACCUCUAA